UUGGAAAAAUCUUGUCUUGAAAAGAAUUUGGAUAUGAGACUCGGUGUAGUCACCAAAGAAACUAAACCUGGUCUAACUGGUUGUUGAGAUCAUCUGCACUUUGGUCAGGAAAUUAUCUCCUAAUCCUAAUAGUGCUGCUAUAAUGGCCAUGGGUGUUAACAUCUUGGCAAAGAGAUUGAAAUGAUUGGGGUUCUUGAUUGAGUUUCUAUCCCAU